CGGUGUUUAACUGGCGUGAUGUGGGACGUCCUACCGGUGGGCUUAGCCUCGCGAGGGGCGGCCCAACUAAUAUCCCGUCGCGGUGCUCUUUACUGAGUGUCGAGUCGGGCCGGUACGUUUACUUUGAACAAAUUAGAGUGCUUAAAGCAGGCUAUCCUCGCCUGAAUACUGCGUGCAUGGAAUAAUGGAAUAGGACCUCGGUUCUAUUUUGUUGGUUUUCGGAACCCCGAGGUAAUGAUUAAUAGGGACAGAUGGGGGCAUUCGUAUUGCGACGUUAGAGGUGAAAUUCUUGGAUCGUCGCAAGACGGACAGAAGCGAAAGCAUUUGCCAAAAAUGUUUUCAUUAAUCAAGAACGAAAGUUAGAGGUUCGAAGGCGAUCAGAUACCGCCCUAGUUCUAACCAUAAACGAUGCCAGCUAGCGAUCCACCGAAGUUCCUCCGAUGACUCGGCGGGCAGCUUCCGGGAAACCAAAGCUUUUGGGUUCCGGGGGAAGUAUGGUUGCAAAGCUGAAACUUAAAGGAAUUGACGGAAGGGCACCACCAGGAGUGGAGCCUGCGGCUUAAUUUGACUCAACACGGGAAACCUCACCAGGCCCAGACACCGGAAGGAUUGACAGAUUGAUAGCUCUUUCUUGAUUCGGUGGGUGGUGGUGCAUGGCCGUUCUUAGUUGGUGGAGCGAUUUGUCUGGUUAAUUCCGAUAACGAACGAGACUCUAGCCUGCCAAAUAGGCGUACCUUAUGGUAUCGCGAAGGCCCCCGGCUUCGGCCGGUGGGUUUUUACUACCAACGUACAAACAAAUCUUCUUAGAGGGACAGGCGG
rnacentral:rRNA from 1 species